rnacentral:misc_RNA from 1 species
AAGCAUAGUAUUACUUUAUCUUCCUCAUAAUCAGUGUACAAGCAUUUUCUUGGAUGCUUGGCUUUCCUAUAAAGUUUUGAGACAAAACUUCAAUAAAAAUUGAGAGCCAUCAAGUAAGAUGUAUUCUUUGCUCAUCAGCACAACAAUCUGCUUAUAUAAUAACUGAUCCAAAUAUUGGCUUUAUCUGUGCAGGUAUUUUCUUUGGCAGUUAUGGA